GGGGGCGACCGGUUUCGACGGGAUGUCUUCGACAGAGCUGGCAGGCCGAGGUCUUGGCACCUCGUUAAACCGUCAAGAACAACUAAUAAGUGCAAACACCAACUUUGCACUGGCUGCUUAAAAUAAGCUAGCCCGUCUGACUCAGGUUUGCCGGUCGGCCUGAACUCAGGCGUCGAGCCAGACCGGAUAGUCUUCCGGCGGCGUCUCUGCGCGGGGAGAUGAAAUUAAACCGGGACUGGCCUGAAGCCGACCUGCCGUUCGGUAAGGCUUCAGGCGAGACAGAAAAGAUCGGAUAAGCCUGUAGAGGGUUCUGAGCCAAGCUUUCCGGACGUGGGUUCGAUUCCCACCGCCUCCAUUU
rnacentral:tmRNA from 1 species